GUUGGCCACAAAAGUGGAAGAAAUAGUGGCUCACGCCUGUAAUCCCAACACUUUGGGAGGCCAAGGUGGGUGGAUCACCUGAGGUCAGGAGUUCAAGACCAGCCUGAUGAACAUGCUUAACUAAAUCCUGAUUGAAUAUAGCCAUAGAGAGGGCAGGGCUUGAAGAACGGCAGAGAGCCCUCAAAUGAGACCCUAAAUGAUGCUCUGUCUGGAAUUUUAAAAAAUCCUUAAAAAGAAGAGGAAGAAGAUCAAAAUGAUGUGCUACAGGGUAUGUUCCCUGCUCCUUGGUGAGAGCAGGAAUGUCAAUUGCAUUAUGUGCUGGAAACGUCACAGUCAGCAUUGAUGGGCCUCUCAGGCCAGUGUCCAUAAGACACUGGAUGGACAGGAAGUACCAGAGGACGACAGCAUGAGCAAGGAAGCCACGGAGCGUUAAAGAGGCUGGACUGUAAUGAAUGCUGGCUGUCGCUAGCUGGGCUUAAAACAUGCGAGACAUGGGAUUUGGUGGCAUGGUGUCUUCAUUUCUCAACCAUGGAAUUAAUUUUCAUUUAUGGUAAUGAGCAUAUUAAAAUAACUUGGUAGUAAUUCCAUCCCUUCUUAUUUAAGCUAUUCCCAGUCUGGCAUCAUUCCACAAAGCAAACUACUUGAGGAAGUUCUUGCCAGGAAUGCAGUGACAAGGGCAUUACACAAUGGUAGAGAAACCAAGGUCCAGAAAGGAAAGGGAUUUGCCUUAAACCGCCCAGCUAGUUAGUUACUCUCAGGGCUGGGUUUGAACUCUGGUUUCUUGAGGCUUCUGGGCCAGCCUGUCUUUCCCCAGAAUCCCCUUUUAUCUGCCCGUACAAUCCACUGUCAAUCAGGAAAAUUGGUUGUGCUCUGGAAAACUGGGCUGAACUGAAAUGAAAUAUUCAUCUUUACCAUAAGAUCAAGAGUAAUCAAACUCAGAGCUUUCAUAUCAAGAGAAAAAUCCGAGAAAAAUUUAGCUUUCAAAAUGUUUGCAAAAACAAUUAUUUCAAGUUGUGUCUUUCUGACUGUAAAAAACAAGGUUUUGCAUGAGAUAAUUUGUUGAUAAAGCAUUUGUGUGCAGAGAAGUGCGGUGCCCACGCAAGAAAACACUCUAGUGUCUUUUUUAUGGGGUUCGAAAUCUCCAAGUACCAAGAGUGGAUGGGUGGACCAAUUACAAUGCCAGUUAUAAAAUGGAUAAUAAAAUGAAAAAAUAAGUUUGAUUAACAUUUUCUUUGGUACUAGAUGAGUUUCCCAGAGUUUCCCAAAGCACAGAGCUCUGCAAACAAUAGU
rnacentral:lncRNA from 10 species